GUGAACCUGCUGAUGUAUUUAUUUGCACUCAUGUAGUAAUUUACUGUCAUGAAAGCUAAAUUGUGACUUGACUUUUUCCUCUCUCAGUUGUUGGCUCAUGACAGAUUUAUUUGAUAAGUGGAAGUGCCCGCUGAUGCAGACCCAGUGUAAGUAUACAUGCUGGCAUUGUUUUUGUGACAUUUAAUCUCAUCUAAAUCAUCAUGUUUUUGAACAGUGUUGGGUAGCCAGCCACCCAUGCAUGUUGACACAGCCAGCAGCGGGCACCCAUGGCACAUGGGGAUGGACCCAGGAGUGGAGGAUGACCCAAUAGGAUGAACGUUCAGCCCACUCACUGUUGACACCAGUGACACAGUAUUGACCAGAUCUCCUGGAAGUGCCCCCUGACGCAGACCCAGUUGUUGGGUAGCCACCCAUGCACGUUGACACAGCCAGCACCGAGCACCCAGGGGGAUAGAACCAGGAAUGGAGGAUG